CAACCUCUCGAUCUUGAAUUUCCCAGCCUCCAAAACUGUCAGCUUUUACUGGAUAUUUUUGAGGAAGGAAGAGCAAGCAGCUGUAGAGGAAGGAAACAAUGAAGCACCUAAGUCAGGAUUUCAUGGAUUUUCAGCAAUGUAGACAGA